rnacentral:rRNA from 1 species
AGAGUUUGAUCCUGGCUCAGGAUGAACGUUGGCGGCGUGCCUAAUACAUGCAAGUCGAACGGAGAUUGUAGCAAUACGGUCUCAGUGGCGAACGGGUGAGUAACGCGUUGGUGACCUGCCCCGAAGUGUGGAAUAACAGAUCGAAAGAGCUGCUAAUACCGCAUAAUAUCCAGGAGAUUAGAUGCUUCUGGAUUAAAGGAUUUAUCCGCUUCGGGAGGGGCCUGCGUCCCAUCAGCUAGUUGGUAAGGUAAAGGCUUACCAAGGCGAUGACGGGUAGGGGACCUGAGAGGGUGGCCCCCCACAAUGGAACUGAAACACGGUCCAUACACCUACGGGUGGCAGCAGUAGGGAAUAUUAGUAAUGGGCGAAAGCCUGAACUAGCAACGCCGCGUGUGCGAAGAAGGCCUUCGGGUUGUAAAGCACUUUUUGAGAGGAUGAGGAAGGACGGUACUCUCAGAAUAAGUCUCGGCUAACUACGUGCCAGCCGCCGCGGUAAUUC